GCGUUGGUGGUUUAGUGGUAAAAUUAGCCGUUGCCACAGUUCUUCCGAGAACAACAACAUCGGCUAGCCCCGGGUUCGAUUCCCGGCCGACGCA